GGCAAUAGCUCAGUUGGCAGAGCGUUGGCUUCCCAAGCCGAAGGUCGCGGGUUCGAACCCCGUUUGCC
rnacentral:tRNA from 1 species